UACAGAGGUCUCAAGCGUUGUUCGGAUUCAUUGGGCGUAAAGGGUGCGUAGGCGGCGCGGUAAGUCGGGUGUGAAAUCUCGGAGCUUAACUCCGAAACUGCAUUCGAUACUGCCGUGCUUGAGGACUGGAGAGGAGACUGGAAUUUACGGUGUAGCGGUGAAAUGCGUAGAUAAUCGUAAGGAAGACCAGUGGCGAAGGCGGGUCUCUGGACAGUUCCUGACGCUGAGGCACGAAGGUCAGGGGAGCAAACGGG
rnacentral:rRNA from 1 species